rnacentral:rRNA from 1 species
AACUUUGGACAAUGGGGGAUACCCUGAUUAAGCCACCACGCGUGUUUGUUGAAGGCCUUCGGGUUUUAAAGUACUUUUGGUAGAGAGGAAAUGGUAUCCUCUAAUACUGUUUAAUGCUGAGGGUAUCCUAAGUAUUUGCCCGCUCUAACUACGUGCCAGCAGCCGCGGUAAUACGUAGGCUGCAAGCGUUAAUCGGAAUUACUGGGCGUAAAGCGUGUGUAGGGGGGACGGAAAGAAAGAUGUGAAAUCCCAAGGCUCAACCAUGGAACUGCAUUUUUAACUGCCAAGCUAGAGUAUGUAAGAGGGGGGUAGAAUUCCACAUGUAGCAGUGAAAUGCGAAGAUAUGUGGAAGAAUAACGAUGGCGAAGGCAGCCCCCAGGGAUAAUACUGACGCUCAGACACGAAAGCGUAGGGAGCAAACAGG